AGUAGUUUGAUCCUGGCUCAGAUUGAACGCUGGCGGCAUGCCUUACACAUGCAAGUCGAACGGUAACAGGUCUUCGGAUGCUGACGAGUGGCGAACGGGUGAGUAAUACAUCGGAACGUACCCUGAAGUGGGGAUAACGUAGCGAAAGUUACGCUAAUACCGCAUAUUCUGUGAGCAGGAAAGAGGGGGAUCGCAAGACCUCUUGCUUUAGGAGCGGCCGAUGUCGGAUUAGCUAGUUGGUGAGGUAAAGGCUCACCAAGGCGACGAUCCGUAGCGGGUCUGAGAGGAUGAUCCGCCACACUGGGACUGAGACACGGCCCAGACUCCUACGGGAGGCAGCAGUGGGGAAUUUUGGACAAUGGGCGCAAGCCUGAUCCAGCCAUGCCGCGUGAGUGAAGAAGGCCUUCGGGUUGUAAAGCUCUUUCGGUGGGGAAGAAAUUGCUUCGGUUAAUACCUGGAGUAGAUGACGGUACCCGCAUAAGAAGCACCGGCUAACUACGUG
rnacentral:rRNA from 1 species